AGUGAACGCUGGCGGUAGGCCUAACACAUGCAAGUCGAACGGCAGCACAGUAAGAGCUUGCUCUUACGGGUGGCGAGUGGCGGACGGGUGAGGAAUACAUCGGAAUCUACUUUUUCGUGGGGGAUAACGUAGGGAAACUUACGCUAAUACCGCAUACGACCUACGGGUGAAAGCAGGGGAUCUUCGGACCUUGCGCGAUUGAAUGAGCCGAUGUCGGAUUAGCUAGUUGGCGGGGUAAAGGCCCACCAAGGCGACGAUCCGUAGCUGGUCUGAGAGGAUGAUCAGCCACACUGGAACUGAGACACGGUCCAGACUCCUACGGGAGGCAGCAGUGGGGAAUAUUGGACAAUGGGCGCAAGCCUGAUCCAGCCAUACCGCGGGGGUGAAGAAGGCCUUCGGGUUGUAAAGCCCUUUUGUUGGGAAAGAAAAGCAGCAGGUUAAGACCCCGCUGUUCGGACGGUACCCAAAGAAGAAGCACCGGCGAACUGCGU
rnacentral:rRNA from 1 species